GUCUGCUUAGCGCAGUCGGUUAGCGCGUCAGUCUCAUAGCAAUAUGAGUUCUUCCAGAACGUCAUCUGAAGGUCAUGAGUUCGAUUCUCAUAGCGGACA